rnacentral:tRNA from 1 species
GAGGUUACAGCUCAGUGGUAGAGCGUGUGCUUAGCAUGCACGAGGUCCUGGGUUCAAUCCUCAGAACCUCC